CUCUGUCUGGCAUAUACUAGGUACUCAGGAAAUGUUUAUUGAAUGAGUAAAUAAGGAAGUACUUGCAUUGAUUGAGGCCUUUAAAUGUGUGAGGUGCACAG
rnacentral:miRNA from 1 species